GACGAACGCUGGCGGCGUGCUUAACACAUGCAAGUCGAACGGAAAGGCCUGCUUUCCCUUGUGGAUUGCGGGUACUCGAGUGGCGAACGGGUGAGUAACACGUGAGUGAUCUGCCCCCCACUUGGGUAUUAGCCUGGGAAACUUGGUCUAAUUCCCGGUAGGACUGCAGGGUUGGGGCUGGGGUUGGAAACGGUUUUCUUGGGGGUGGGGGUGAGCUCGCGGCCUAUCAGCUUGUUGGUGGGGUAAUGGCCUACCAAGGCGGCGACGGGUAGCCGGCCUGAGAGGGUGGACGGCCACAUUGGGACUGAGAUACGGCCCAGACUCCUACGGGAGGCAGCAGUGGGGAAUAUUGCACAAUGGGCGGAAGCCUGAUGCAGCGACGCCGCGUGGGGGAUGACGGCCUUCGGGUUGUAAACUCCUUUCGACCGCGAGGAAGCCACCUGGUUGGAAGGGUGGUGACGGUAGUGGUAGAAGAAGCACCGGCUAACUACGUG
rnacentral:rRNA from 1 species